rnacentral:lncRNA from 1 species
AAGGACAACAGCUCCUGGCUGUCUCUGCCCAGUCUCCUUCCCUGUUUCCCAUAAUGCCACUUGUUAGCUGGAGUCUUGAAAAGCAGAGUGCACUCUUACAAUCCCAAGCCAUGCUGUUCUCUGAAGACCUUGGGGGACCUGGCUCUGUGGGGAUCGCCAUUCAGUGGUGGCCUAACUGUGUUAUCAACACCAGGCCAGGAGCAGAGAGGAAGGAUCGCUGAGGCCUCACCAGCUGCCGGCCUUGGCUUCCCUGACGGCCGCUGCUCCCCCAGCCGUUUGGAAGGUGCCUGGACGUCCACUCGGCCUUGUGGUGUGGUGCGGCUGCCCAUUCAGCACAGAUAAGCCCUUUAGAAUCAAGGGGGAAUUUAAUUCAGUGCCUGACUGACAG